CAGUCGCCGCGGGAAUACGUAGGUGGCAAGCGUUGUCCGGAAUUAUUGGGCGUAAAGGGCUCGCAGGCGGUUUCUUAAGUCUGAUGUGAAAGCCCCCGGCUCAACCGGGGAGGGUCAUCGGAAACUGGGAAACUUGAGUGCAGAAGAGGAGAGUGGAAUUCCACGUGUAGCGGUGAAAUGCGUAGAGAUGUGGAGGAACACCAGUGGCGAAGGCGACUCUCUGGUCUGUAACUGACGCUGAGGAGCGAGAGCGUGGGGAGCGAACAGGAUUAGAUACCCCUGUAGUCCCUGUCUCUUAUAC
rnacentral:rRNA from 1 species